rnacentral:rRNA from 1 species
AACGUAGGAGGCGAGCGUUAUCCGGAAUUACUGGGCGUAAAGCGUACGUAGGCGGCUUUGUAAGUUAGAGGUGAAAGCCCGGGGCUCAACUCCGGAAUUGCCUUUAAGACUGCAUCGCUUGAAUCAUGGAGAGGUGAGUGGAAUUCCGAGUGUAGAGGUGAAAUUCGUAGAUAUUCGGAAGAACACCAGUGGCGAAGGCGACUCACUGGACAUGUAUUGACGCUGAGGUACGAAAGCGUGGGGAGCAAACAGG